rnacentral:rRNA from 1 species
UACGUAGGGUGCGAGCGUUAAUCGGAAUUACUGGGCGUAAAGCGUGCGUAGGCGGUUCGUUAUGUCUGCUGUGAAAGCCCCGGGCUUAACCUGGGAAUGGCAGUGGAAACUGGCGGGCUUGAGUGUGGCAGAGGGGGGUGGAAUUCCGCGUGUAGCAGUGAAAUGCGUAGAGAUGCGGAGGAACACCGAUGGCGAAGGCGGCAUCCUGGACUGGUCCUGACACUCAGGAGCGAAAGCGUGGGGAGCGAUCCGG